rnacentral:rRNA from 1 species
UACGGGGGGGGCAAGCGUUGUUCGGAAUUACUGGGCGUAAAGGGCUCGUAGGUGGCCAACUAAGUCGGACGUGAAAUCCCUCGGCUUAACCGGGGAACUGCGUCCGAUACUGGUUGACUUGAGUUUGGGAGAGGGAUGCGGAAUUCCAGGUGUAGCGGUGAAAUGCGUAGAUAUCGUGAGGAACACCAGAGGCGAAGGCGGUUUCCUGGACAGUUACUGACGCUCAGGCACGAAAGCAUGGGGAGCAAAAGGG